GACGAACGCUGGCGGCGUGCUUAACACAUGCAAGUCGAACGGAAAGGCCCUGCUUUUGUGCGGUGCUCGAGUGCCGAACGGGUGAGUAUCACGUGAGUAACCUGCCCUUGACUUUGGGAUAACUUAAGGAAACUGGGGCUAAUACCGGAUAGGAGCUCCUGCUGCAUGGUGGGGAUUGGAAAGUUUCGGCGGUUGGGGAUGGACUCGCGGCUUAUCAGCUUGUUGGUGGGGUAGUGGCUUACCCAGGCUUUGACGGGUAGCCGGCCUGAGAGGGUGACCGGCCACAUUGGGCCUGAGAUACGGCCCAGAGUCCUACGGGAGGCAGCAGUGGGGAAUAUUGCACAAUGGGCGGAAGCCGGAUGCAGCAACGCCGCGUGCGGGAUGACGGCCUGCGGGUUGUAAACCGCUUUCGCCUGUGACGAAGCGUGAGUGACGGUAAUGGGUAAAGAAGCACCGGCUAACUACGUG
rnacentral:rRNA from 1 species